UCCAGAAGAAAUUUGUAUAGAAAAUGUUUGCCGAGUUGUGACAUUGGAAGGUCUCUCAAGGUGUUGUGGACUACGUGCUGAAUACAUGAUUUUAUCCGACUGUUUAUAUUGAGUUCGACCGAGGAGAAGGUCGAAACAUUGAAUUAGUUAUUAUCAAGCUUGACACAAGGAAGGAAUAUUCCUUUCUGAAAUUCAAAUUUAAUUUUACGAUAGAAGAUGGUUAUGUUCUUUAAUUACGAUUAGACGAAGAAAGAAGAUAAAGACGAAAAUAAAUAAAAGGAAGAGGAAAGUAAAUGAGACGUUUCUUAAGUAUGUUUAUAGGAAGGAAACUCAUGUACUUACUUGGAGGCAACCGCAAAAAGACUUCUUCACUCUCGAUGGCAUCGUUUGACAGCGGCCGACAAACUCCUUCAGUGGUUGUGGACUCUUUACAGGACAGCUCGGAAUCCUCUGAAUACAAACAACACGAUUUUAGCGUCCUUGAUACCGACAGAGAUUAGUUUCAAGUUAAUAGAGUUUAGUCAUGCAAAGUAUUAAACUUUGUCAACCCGAUUGAAAAAUUAGGACUAAUUCGAAAUCGAUGUACUUGUUUGAAUUGGCAUCAUUCUUAUGUCAGGAUACGCUGUAGAGGAAGCAGAGAGAGAAAAUAAGGAAAAUGUCGUGUUGCGGAAUCGUUAACACAUACUAUAUACAUAUACAUAACAGUAAGAAAAUAUGAUUCGUCAUAACUAUAGUGCAAAGCACGUUCACCUACUACAUAAGAAAUCCAUCGACGUGGAGGCGUCACGGGUUCACCGUAACUAUCGAUAUCUCGUUCCUCAUUCGAAGCCAUUGGAAGAGAUACACUUAACAACGUUUUUUAACACGAUUUUGUCGAAUGCUCGACACUGACUAUGAGCUUCUUCCGAGGCAUCGUCAAGCUUAUCGCGCUAAUUUCUUAUCUCUUGAGUGAAAAAAAAAA